AUUGAACGCUGGCGGCAUGCUUUACACAUGCAAGUCGAACGGCAGCGCGGGCUUCGGCCUGGCGGCGAGUGGCGAACGGGUGAGUAAUGCAUCGGAACGUGCCCAGUAGUGGGGGAUAGCCCGGCGAAAGCCGGAUUAAUACCGCAUACGACCUGAGGGUGAAAGCGGGGGCCGGAAGGCCUCGCGCCAAUGGGGCGGCCGAUGUCGGAUUAGCUAGUUGGUGGGGUAAAGGCUUACCAAGGCGACGAUCCGUAGCUGGUCUGAGAGGACGACCAGCCACACUGGGACUGAGACACGGCCCAGACUCCUACGGGAGGCAGCAGUGGGGAAUUUUGGACAAUGGGGGCAACCCUGAUCCAGCCAUGCCGCGUGCGGGAAGAAGGCCUUCGGGUUGUAAACCGCUUUUGUUCGGGAAGAAAUCCUCUGGGCUAAUACCCCGGGGGGAUGACGGUACCGGAAGAAUAAGCACCGGCUAACUACGUG
rnacentral:rRNA from 1 species